UGAGGAAUAUUGCGCAAUGGGCGAAAGCCUGACGCAGCGACGCCGCGUGAAGGAUGAAGGCCUUAGGGUUGUAAACUUCUGUUAAGUGGGAAGAAAAACCUGUUUUUAAUAAAAGCAGGCAAUGACGGUACCAUUAGAGAAAGCACCGGCUAAACUCGUGCCAGCAGCCGCGGUAAUACGAGUGGUGCAAGCGUUAUUCGGAUUUAUUGGGCGUAAAGGGUGCGUAGGCGGCGCAUUAAGUCAACUGUCAAAUUUCCCGGCCUAACUGGGAGCUUGCAGUAGAUACUGGUGUGCUAGAGGUUGGAAGAGAGAAGUGGAAUUCUCGGAGUAGCGGUAAAAUGCGUAGAUCUCGAGAGGAACACCGAUGGCGAAGGCAGCUUCUUGGUCCAAAUCUGACGCUGAGGCACGAAAGCGUGGGGAGCAAACA
rnacentral:rRNA from 1 species